UACAGAGGUGGCAAGCGUUGUUCGGAAUUACUGGGCGUAAAGGGCGAGUAGGUGGCCAUCUAAGUCAGACGUGAAAUCCCCCGGCUUAACCUGGGAACUGCGUCUGAUACUGGACGGCUUGAGUAUGGGAGAGGGAUGUAGAAUUCCAGGUGUAGCGGUGAAAUGCGUAGAUAUCUGGAGGAAUACCGGUGGCGAAGGCGGCAUCCUGGACCAUUACUGACGCUGAGACGCGAAAGCGUGGGGAGCAAACAGG
rnacentral:rRNA from 1 species